rnacentral:rRNA from 1 species
AUUGAACGCUGGCGGCAGGCCUAACACAUGCAAGUCGAGCGGAGCGGCGGACGGGUGAGGAAUGCCUAGGAAUCUGCAUGGUAGUGGUGGAUAACGUUCGGUAACGGGAGCUAAUAACGCAUCCUAUCAGAUGAGCAUAGGUCGGGUUAGCUAGUUGGUGGGGUAAAGGCCUACCAAGGCGACGAGCCGUAACCGGUCUGAGAGGAUGAUCAGUCACAUGGGAAGUGAGACACGGGCCAGACUGCUACGUGAGGCGGCAGUGGGGAAGAUUGCACAAUGGGCGAAAGCCUGAUCCAGCCAUGCCGCGUGUGUGAUGAAGGCCUUCGGGUUGUAAAGUACUUUCAGUCUGGAGGCGUUACCCACAGAAGAAGCACCGGCUAACUCCGGGCCAGCAGCGGCGGUAAUAC